GAUGAACGCUAGCGGCAGGCCUAACACAUGCAAGUCGAGGGGUAUAAGUCUUCGGACUUUGAGGCCGGCGCACGGGUGCGUAACGCGUAUGCAAUCUACCUUGUACAGAGGGAUAGCCCAGAGAAAUUUGGAUUAAUACCUCAUAGUAUAUUUGAAUGGCAUCAUUUAAAUAUUAAAGUUCCAACGGUACAAGAUGAGCAUGCGUCCCAUUAGUUAGUUGGUGUGGUAACGGCACACCAAGACGAUGAUGGGUAGGGGUCCUGAGAGGGCGAUCCCCCACACUGGGACUGAGACACGGACCAGACUCCUACGGGAGGCAGCAGUGAGGAAUAUUGGUCAAUGGAGGCAACUCUGAACCAGCCAUGCCGCGUGCAGGAUGACGGUCCUAUGGAUUGUAAACUGCUUUUAUACGGGAAGAAAAAGAGUUACGUGUAACUUAUUGACGGUACCGUAAGAAUAAGGAUCGGCUAACUCCGUGCCAGCCGCCGCCGUAA
rnacentral:rRNA from 1 species